UGCUCACUUUGGUAGCAAGUUUACAAAAUUGGAAUGAUACAAAGAAGAUAAGCAUGGCCCCUGCACAAGAAUGAAACUCAAAUUUGUGAAGUAUUCCAUAUUUUU
ensembl:snRNA U6 U6 spliceosomal RNA